GACAGAGGGUGCAAACGUUGCUCGGAAUUACUGGGCGUAAAGCGCGUGUAGGCGGUGCCGCACGUCGGGUGUGAAAGCCCGGGGCUCAACCCCGGAAGUGCACUCGAUACGACGGCGCUGGAGUCCUGAAGAGGAGAGCGGAAUUCCCGGUGUAGAGGUGAAAUUCGUAGAUAUCGGGAGGAACACCAGUGGCGAAGGCGGCUCUCUGGACAGGUACUGGACGCUGAGACGCGAAAGCGUGGGUAGCAAACAGG
rnacentral:rRNA from 1 species